GGGGAGGCAAGAAAUUAAUUUUUUAAAAGAAAUGAAUAAAACUUUCUUGGGAUACAAGUAUUUGACUAGGAAUAUUGUUAUUGUGACAAGUAAUGCUUUCGUUUAAAAGAUUCUAGCCUGUACCGUUUUCAAAAAAGGGUCAUGGGGAAAUAUUUAAGUAUGCGAGAUUAUUCCCUUGCCCUCCGGUCCCCUUUUUUCUACAACAAAAGAUCACUUGGUUGCUCUCAGAGAAUUAUACAGGGUUGAUACCAUGCAUUAUAAUGAAUGUUCCCGGUUUGUGUUUUGAUGGAAUACAUAAAAUAGGUUGUGUUGUAAAUAAAUUAAUCUUUGUAGACAAUUCUGGGUGAACAACUUC
rnacentral:lncRNA from 1 species